rnacentral:rRNA from 1 species
GGCGAACGCUGGCGGCGUGCCUAAUACAUGCAAGUAGAACGCACAGUUUAUACCGUAGCUUGCUACACCAUAGACUGUGAGUUGCGAACGGGUGAGUAACGCGUAGGUAACCUGCCUGGUAGCGGGGGAUAACUAUUGGAAACGAUAGCUAAUACCGCAUAAUAUUAAUUAUUGCAUGAUAAUUAAUUGAAAGGUGCAAUUGCACCACUACCAGAUGGACCUGCGUUGUAUUAGCUAGUAGGUGAGGUAACGGCUCACCUAGGCGACGAUACAUAGCCGACCUGAGAGGGUGAUCGGCCACACUGGGACUGAGGCACGGCCCAGACUCCUACGGGAGGCAGCAGUAGGGAAUCUUCGGCAAUGGACGAAAGUCUGACCGAGCAACGCCGCGUGAGUGAAGAAGGUUUUCGGAUCGUAAAGCUCUGUUGUAAGAGAAGAACGGGUGUGAGAGUGGAAAGUUCACACUGUGACGGUAUCUUACCAGAAAGGGACGGCUAACUACGUG